rnacentral:lncRNA from 1 species
CAUUUCUUGACAAAUGACUCUCCACUCGUGUCCUCUCCAGUGCCUCUGCAGAGUGCAGACUGCAGACCCAGUGUGUUCUGGGUAGAAAUGUGUGUGUGUUUGGGCCGGCAGCUCAGGAGGUCCUGUAAACACAGCCUGAAGCGCUUUAUUUGAUUUCUACCAAAUCAGGGAGGGACACAAUCUCCUAACCCAACACAUGGAAAUGAAGACCUGGGGAUAAGACGAUCGUGACAGAACUACCCACCAAACACGGACCAAGCAGCGGAGGAGGGAGCAACGGGUGGACUGUCGCGAGUCAUGGACUUGGGAGCAGAUUCUGGCCGUAGAGGGCCCAUGGAGGAAGUCUGGUGAGGACCGGGAACGCUACCGGGGGACAUGGCUGGCGAGGAAGCCGGAGAGGCACCCCCAAGAUUUUUUUUGGGGGGGCACACGGGUAGUUUGGCUGGGCCAAGGGUGAGCCCUAAGCCAGUUACCCGUGCUUAUUGUGAGGAACGUAUGGAGUGGAGGGCGGCGAGGUAUGCAGAAGUGCGCACGAUCUCGCCCAUACGCACGCACAGUCCAGUGCGAGUGAUCCCAGCCCCUCGCAAGUGCCGUGCUAGAGUGGGCAUCCAGCCUGGUAGGAGGAUGCCUGCGCAGUGCAUCUGGUCACCGGUGCGCCUCCUAGGUCCAGGCUACCCUACGCCCACUCUACGCAUGGCAACCAUCAGGCCCCUGCACAGCCCAGUUCGCCCUGUACCAGCAUUCCGCUCGUACAGGGCUACUAGUUCCAUCCAGCCAGGACGGGUUGUGCAGGAGGUGCGGUCAAGACCGCCUGUGCGCCUCCACGGUCCGGUAUAUCCACAGCCAGCAUCACGCACCAGGCCUCCAGUGCGUCAGCCCAGUCCAACUCGGCCAGUUCCUGCUCCCCGCACUAGCCCUGAAGUGCGUGUCCCCAAACUGGCACAUCCAGUACCAGCACCACGCAUCAGGCUUCCAGUGCGUCAGCCUAGUCCCGAG